AUUUAGAACACAUGUGACCCAGACCACCCAGACACUUGAAGAACCUUAUUGGGAUUUCAAGUUCAUUUUUUCCUAAUGUGCACUGGAAUUGGAACCACUUGGGAAUACAUUUCAGAAAAUGGACUUGAAAUACAUACGCAAACAAAACCUUUUCCCCUAGGGAGAAGAGAAAAAGGAGCUGAAGUGUCUAACAGCUACCAGGAAGUGCCCGUCAACCAGCGUGAAUAAGAAAAAGGAGAACAAGGGAAAUAGAUUGCCCUCGGGAAGAGGGGUAUUAUCAUGAACACUACUUUAUCACUUUUGAACUGUGGACAUCCAUGAACUUAGCAGUAUUUCCAAAACAUUUUUAAAAACCCAUAAAAUAAAUAAAUUUCAGGUAAACUGUACCAAACUUGGCAAACAGAAACCUCCUUGCCAGAGGGUUUAAAUUGGACAAUUUCUAGAAAACCAUGCUCCCUCUAAGCUAGACAGAAAGUAAAGGACUCACAUAUGUUGAGAACCUUUAUCACACAAGGAAUGCCCAGAUGUUUAUAUGAUACUUAAUUUUUUCUUUGUUAAAUUAUUUUCACAAAAAAUUUCAAAUGUACCCCCCCAAAAAAAACUCCCAGCUGCCAGUCAUCCAGCUUCAAUAAUCAAUGACAUUCUGCCAUACUGUUUAACAACAGUAACUUUUUUCUUAAGCUAGAAUAGAUUAAAACAAGUCCCUGUGUUCAAGCUAUUUUGCCACUAAAUACUGCAAUAGGCAUGUAAAAAGAAAAGAAUAUUCUGGCACGUAACCAUAACGCUGUUAGCACACCCAACAAAUUAAUCAUCUGAUACCCAACUUCAUAAAAUUUCCUCAAAUAUCUAAAGCAAUCUUUUUUGCCAUAAGUUUAGUUAAAACAGUGUAUAAGGUAUUAUGCGUCUUAGGUCUCUCUUGUAUUUCUUUCACACUACAACAUUCUCCUCCCUUUGCCCUGUUCAUCCCAUGCCAUUGGGUAGUUGAAGACACUGGAUCCAUAGUCUUGAAGAAAUUGCCACACUCUGAAUUUGGCUGCAAAGCCAUUCCUUAAGCUUCGAACACUCUGGCCAGCUGAGAUAUCCCAGAGGAGUGUACCUCGGUCUUGUGGGCACUGUCUUUCCAUUUGUUUAGAGAAACUGGCAAGUGUAUAACCUGAGUGUCCACACGACCCUGUUCCCCUAGAUCCAGGUGGAGGGAUGAAACUGAUCACUUAGAACCCAGAGACACAGCUUUUCCUGGAGAGGUCUCUCUCUAAUAGAUUUCACAGGCAAGCCGGAGGACAAGAGGAGUGUCCCCACAAUUCAGUUAUGGGAAAGAGCAGCCUGGGCCUGUGUAGGGGCUCUGCUAGGAAAGAACAAAUUUGAUUGUUGAAGGGUGGUGGGGGGGGGGGGACUAUUUAUUUCCAGAAGAGGAAGCUCCUAUCACAGACAUAAUAUACAGGACUUGCUGAGGCUUAGAAGUAGGGGCUUAACAUCUCUUGUUGGAAAGACACGUAGCAAGGGGCAGCCUGGGGUGUGCUCAGAUGCAUUUGUUUCUGUCCACCCGGCCCCAUUCCUUUCUUUGUAUUUGCAGACACAGAGCCCAGGAUCUGCAGAUUAGAAACACUAAGCAGGAUGACGUUUGUACAGCAUCUUGUUCCAGGCGGCUUGGAGCAUUUGGCAGGGGGCAUCUUGCUCAAGACACUAGAACUCCCAGGUGGGAGGGAUUUAUGGACUGGCAAGGGGGCUGUUCUAUGCAUCUCGCCCAGUAGCUCAGUAGCCCCUAUGGCCCGUUUUGGCCACCCCUUGCACACCUGUUCUCAAGGUGACUCCUUUAGUUUCAACCUGGGCUACUUGUGAGGGUCCAGUUCCCUCACCACAAUCUAAGCGAGACGGAACCAGAGCCCCUUGGAGUAAUGAGAAAUGAAACUCCAAGAUACACCGUUUGAUGAACUGUCUGGAAGAACAGCUCAAACGCAAAUAUGCCUGUGCCUCAGGUGCAGUGAGCAAACACUGGCUCACUGUCAGCUUCAUGCCAAGCUUCGAGCUUAGCACGGGGGUGUAAAGAGCAUAUUCCAGACCUGGCCUCUGGCAGCUGUUAGUCUGGGCACAGCUGUGUUCUAUCUAUCUCUGAUCUGUUUCUAAAAAGUACUUCCCCUAAUGGAUUACAAUGUAAAUUUUUAGUCUGUAAAUUAUGCUCUUGUUCAUAGUGCCUUGUGCUAUAAAUAGAUGAUAAAUAAUUUGGGAUAGUUAUGUGGUAUCUUUUGCCUAGGACUUUAAAGCAUUUCACAAACACUGCCCAUGAAUAGUAAAUGAAUUAGUAUAUUAAUCCCUUGUUUACAAAAGGAUGAUAGCCACAUGGGGAUUAGAGUCAACUGAUGGAUGUCAGAGUAAAAACCUGACUUCACUACUGAUUUGCAUUAUGACCUCAGGCAAGCCACUCCCCAUCCCUGAACCCUGGUUUCCUCCCUGUAUACAGCAUUGUCAGCUAAAAGUCCUUUGACCCUCUCCUCCUCUCCCCCAGUGUUUGGAAAUGCUGUCACGGGAACCGCAGCAGAAGAAUUAUUGAUAUGUAGGGACAGGAGCAGGAUGCUCUUUCUCCUUCACUGCAAUGAUUCACAGAAAAAGACUUUCCUGCCCCAAACACCUAUAGACCCAAAUGGCCCUGGGUAGUCAUUUACACUCUACAUUUACCUCUAACCUCCUUCCCAGUGUGACAGUCAACGUACAUCCAUCUCUGAAAGUUUAGCCACAAAGGGAUUAAGUUCUACGUUCAGGACAGAACAUCCUCCUUCAGAACCUGAAGCUAUGACUCCCCCUUCCCUAACAGAGGAGCCCGUGCGUCCUAGCUAGAACCAGCCGUUUGGCGCCAUCUGCUGGACACAAGCAGUCACAGGUUGGGGGAAAUUCGGUCAUGCUUAAGGAAUCAGGUGCCCACUGAUGCUCAUCCCUUGGACGGUUCUGAAGAAGUGUUCCCACUGGAUUGAUGCUCUAUAUUCCUUUAUGACAAAUCUCCCCAACCUUUAAUAAAUAUCUCAAAAGCUAAGGGUCUUUCCUACUACGUCCUAUUCCCUCUGCAGUUUCAUAAAGCGCCGGUGUUUUAUUUAGUCAACCAAGUCACGAAAACGAAGGAGCCCCACGACAAAACCAUCAACAAAUAGAGGGCAGAAGCCACAUUUCCUCUGUCACUGUAUCC